UAGGUAGUGCCCUAGUGGGGUCUCUGUG
rnacentral:piRNA from 1 species